CAUGUACCGUAUCAGAGAUCUCAUUGACAGUUCUGCAAUAAACAUGGAAGUCGCAGACGCAUGAAAUGGGAUUAACUGGCGUUACUAUUCUAUUUUGGCAAUAUGGUAUAUUAUUCUAAUACCAUAGUAUCAUCAAUACCACAAAAAUAGAAAAAAAUAUCAGUCUGCUACCAUUUGUAUCAUCUAUUCCAUUUAUCAUCUUUUCUGGAAAUAAAAAUAAAAUAGAAAGGCAAUACCAUUUCUGCAUCAAUUUCAUUUAGGCACUUGUUAUACUAUCAAAAAAGACGAGUGGAAUAGACUGGUCUGCCCAAACAUAACUCCCAAAAGUAUGAUCGUCAAAGGUUCAAGACAGAUCGUUUCCGACAUGAAAUACAAUACAUGUACAUACAAAAUACAAAAAUAUAUAAGGCUGAAAUCAACUUACCGCCAUCAAUUUUCUGUCUUUACUCAUCUUUUCUGUACUCGAAUUGACAAUUUUUUCUUUGGUUUUCUUCUAUAAUGUCGUAUUUUCACCACCUCUAUUAUACAUUCUAGAGACAUCGCCCCUAUCUUUCUGUCUGAAUCUUCUUUAUUGUCUCUUUUUCAUUAUAGUUGGUUGUCGUUGCCAUAGUCGCCGUUGUUGAGACGUUCCAAACAUGAAGAAGAAAAUUGUAAUAUGUGAAUAGGAGCAAAGCCACGAUUUUCUAAGAGACUUGUUAAUUCCGGAGACGUGAUCGUUGCUUUAUAUACAUAUGUGGAGGUGAUGUUGUUCUUUGAUUUUUUUUUUUGUAGUUUUGGAUUCCGAGCGUAGUGCUAAAGGUGAGUUUUGGAGAUAAAUUGUUGGUUUCGUGUUGUUAAUUAUUUUUGUUGUUGUAACGUUGUUGUUGCGUUGUCGAUACCUGAGAAGAAGGAAUCUACGGUUGUGUUGUUGAUGUCUCUUAUUUGAAGUUGCUUUCCUGAGAUUUGUUUUUUAAGAGGCCUGAGAGCAACA
rnacentral:lncRNA from 1 species